rnacentral:RNase_P_RNA from 1 species
AUCGCAAAAUGGCUUAUCGCUGUUCGCUUAGGCGGAGGGAGGAAAGUCCGGGCAACAUAGGGCAGUGUACCUCUAGAAACAGAGGGUGCUUAGGUAGGAAUACCAAGGUAACAGAAAGGGUAACAGAAAAUAACCACUCUCAUUUUUUUGAGAGCCAGGGUGAAAAAGUGAGGUAAGAGCUCACACGCUCGGAUGGUAACAUUCGUUUGGUACAAACCUUGCACGUUGUAAAACCAAGUAAACUAUAGGUUGAGGGCAGCUCGUCCAAUUCUAGUCUCGGCUAGAAACUAUAGAGGGUAGGUUGCAUAGAUAAAUGAUAAGCUCAUUCACCUUGGUGAAGAGACAGAACCCGGCUUAUAGUUUUGCAUUUUUA